GCCCGAGUGGUGAAACUGGUAGACACAAGGGACUUAAAAUCCCUCGACCUCACGGUUGUGCCGGUUCGAUUCCGGCCUCGGGCA
rnacentral:tRNA from 1 species